CGGUGGAGUCAUGUUUGUUUAAUUUCGAUGAUACGACGAAGAAACCUUACCAGGUCUUGACAUCCCCCGCCGAUGCUUUUAGAGAUAAAGCGGAGGUAUUCGGGGAGACAGGUGGUGCAUGGUUGUCGUCAGCUCGUGUCGUGAGAUGUUGGGUUAAGUCCCGCAACGAGCGCAACCCCUAUUGCUAGUUACCAUCAUUAAGUUGGGGACUCUAGCGAGACUGCCAGUGAUAAACUGGAGGAAGGUGGGGAUGACGUCAAAUCAUCAUGCCCCUUAUGACCUGGGCUACAAACGUGAUACAAUGGCUGGAACAAAGGGAUGCGAAGCAGUGAUGUGGAGCGAAACCCAUAAAAACAGUCUCAGUUCGGAUUGAAGUCUGCAACUCGACUUCAUGAAGUCGGAAUCGCUAGUAAUCGCGGAUCAGAACGCCGCGGUGAAUACGUUCUCGGGGUUU
rnacentral:rRNA from 1 species